rnacentral:rRNA from 1 species
AGUGAACGCUGGCGGUAGGCCUAACACAUGCAAGUCGAACGGCAGCACAGUAAGAGCUUGCUCUUACGGGUGGCGAGUGGCGGACGGGUGAGGAAUACAUCGGAAUCUACUUUUUCGUGGGGGAUAACGUAGGGAAACUUACGCUAAUACCGCAUACGACCUACGGGUGAAAGCAGGGGAUAUUCGGACCUUGCGCGAUUGAAUGAGCCGAUGUCGGAUUAGCUAGUUGGCGGGGUAAAGGCCCACCAAGGCGACGAUCCGUAGCUGGUCUGAGAGGAUGAUCAGCCACACUGGAACUGAGACACGGUCCAGACUCCUACGGGAGGCAGCAGUGGGGAAUAUUGGACACUGGGCGCAAGCCUGAUCCAGCCAUACCGCGUGGGUGAAGAAGGCCUUCGGGUUGUAAAGCCCUUUUGUUGGGAAAGAAAAGCAGCAGGUUAAUACCCCGCUGUUCUGACGGUACCCAAAGAAUAAGCACCGGCUAACUUCGUG